rfam:Brassica oleracea var. oleracea cultivar TO1000 chromosome C3, whole genome shotgun sequence
AAGCCAUGAUGUAGGCAUUGAGACCAAUAGCCCUUCAACCUCUCCCAUGCUUCACUAAAUCCCUCUAGGUUCUUCUGCUGAAAGCUAGAGAUCUCAUUCCUGAUCUU